UACGAGGGGUGCAAGCGUUAUUCGGAUUUAUUGGGCGUAAAGGGUGUGUAGACGGCAUGUUAAGUCAACUGUUAAAUUCCUCGGCCUAACUGAGGGUAUGCGGUAGAAACUGGCGUGCUAGAGGGUGAGAGAGAGAAGUGGAAUUCUCGGAGUAGCGGUAAAAUGCGUAGAUCUCGAGAGGAACACCGAUGGCGAAGGCAGCUUCUUAGCUCACUCCUGACGUUGAGGCACGAAAGCGUGGGGAGCAAACAGG
rnacentral:rRNA from 1 species